UGACCAUUUUUUUCGUAUUUAAAUCAGAUUUAUAAAGUUUAACGUUUCAUAAUCAUAAUUUUAUUUAUACACAACAAAUAAAAAUUUUAUAAAAUUCUUUAAAAAUGUCUGGUAAAGAAGGUAAAAAGGAACCAAUUCACAAGAAAGAAGAUGAUAAAGAAAAGCAGCAUUCUCAGACCACUGAGUGUAAAGACACUUGCAAAGGCCUACAAAAGAAAGAUGGCGCUGAAAAAUGCCAUAAAUAGAGAUGAAUCGGAAAAAAUAUAAAUAGAAACGCUAUAUCAAAUUCAAACUUAUAACUAGCAAAAAAACACAACAAAAACAUUACUCCAAUUACACAUUAUUUUAUUAUAAUAAUAAAAUAUAAACUUAGAAUUAGACUCGUAUAAUUUGUACGUUUAUUUAUAUAAACAAAAUUCUCAAAUUGUUUAAUUUUUCUUAAAUUUAAAUAAAUCAUAAAUAUCAUAUUUUAAAA